AAAAAGGCUAAUUCCCCCUUUGGGGAAACCCCUGAAAACCCCCCCCGGGGGAAAAAUUUUUUUGGGAAUUUUUAAAGGAAAAUUUUUUUUUUUUGGGGAAAAAAAAAAAUUUUUUUUUUCCCCCC